GAUGAACGCUGGCGGCGUGCUUAACACAUGCAAGUCGAACGAAGCACUUUUUUUGAUUUCCUUCGGGACUGAUUAUUUUGUGACUGAGUGGCGGACGGGUGAGUAACGCGUGGGUAACCUGCCUUGUACAGGGGGAUAACAGUCGGAAACGGCUGCUAAUACCGCAUAAGCGCACGGCAUCGCAUGAUGCAGUGUGAAAAGCUCCGGUGGUAUAAGAUGUACCCGCGUUGGAUUAGCUAGUUGGUGAGGUAACGGCCCACCAAGGCGACGAUCGAUAGCCGACAUGUGAGGGUGAGCGGCCACAUUGAGGCUGAGACACGGCCCAAACUCCUAGGGGAGGCAGCAGUGGGGAAUAUUGCACAAUGGGCGAAAGCCUGAUGCAGCGACGCCGCGUGAGCGAAGAAGUAUUUCGGUAUGUAAAGCUCUAUCAGAAGGGGAGAUAAUGACGGUACCUGACGAAGAAGCACCGGCUAAAUACGUG
rnacentral:rRNA from 1 species